AAAACCCCCAAGGACGAUUUCUUUGGGUAAAUUUUGAAGAGCGGAAAUUUAGGAAGGAAAAAGGAAAAAAUAGAAAGGGAGAGGAGACGGAAGAUAGAAGGGAAAUUUGAAAAAAAAAAAAAAAGGAAAAAAAAAAAACUCUUCCGUGCUCCUUUAUCCCCUCGUUUCUCCCACUGUAUUCUUAGUGGCAGGCGGAGUAGAGAGGCCAGAAAGAACCCUGGGUCGUCUUGGAGACAGCGAUGGUGGAGCCCCUCGAAGAGCCGCCGGAGGGUUGCCUCGCCGCCGACGACCUCCUUCUCCUCGACUUCCCUUCCGACAUCGACCUCAAUCCUCCCCCCCACCGCCGGAACCGUAACCCCCCGCUCCCCGCCGCCGCCGGAGGGCUGCAGGACCAGUCCCUCCUUGAUAUCCUCGACUCCACGGACAUCCCUGCCGUCGACGGCCUUCCGGGCUUGGCGGCGGAGGGAGGAGGAGGCGGCGAAGAGGAGGAGGAGCUGGAGUGGCUGUCGAACAAGGACGCGUUUCCGGGGCUGGAAACUUCCUUCGAAAUCCCCACCCACUCACGGAGCAGCAGCGGCGGUGGGACCGGAAGCAGCAGCAGCGCCGCCACAGCGGCGGAGGGGGCGAGGCCGAGCCCGGUGUCGGUCCUGGCCGUGGCGGCGCCGUCCAGGGUGCCGGUGCGGCCGAGAAGCAAGGGGCGGCGGCGGCGGCGGAGGGUACUUGCCGGGCUGUCCCCGGCGGUGGCGGCGACCGAGGCGAAGGAACGGCGGCGGUGCCGGCACUGCGAGGCGGAGGAGACGCCGCAGUGGAGGGCGGGACCUGAGGGACCGAAGACGUUGUGCAACGCGUGCGGGGUGCGGUACAAGUCCGGGCGGUUGGUGCCGGAGUACCGCCCGGCGGCGAGUCCCACCUUCUCCGCCGCCAUCCACUCCAACUCCCACCGCCGCAUCAUGGAGAUGCGCCGCCACAACUCCGCCCGCGGCCGGCGGACUGGCCGCCCGCCGGCGACUCCGCUCGUUGCCGGGUCGGCGUUGUAAACCAACCCACCCUCAGAACCCUUAGGAAAUGAAAAAGGAAAGUAUUAGCUUUGUGGGUGACCAGGAGAGGAAUGAUGGUUGGUAGCUGGGAACGGAGGAGGAAGAUGAGUCAGAGAUUGCAUUCAGACGAUAGAGUGAUCAAAACCGUUGGUGUUAGAUGUGGCAUGUGGUGGCUUUUACAGCAAGGAGACAGCAUCAUGUGUCAGCUCAAACAAAGGUGUGAUGCAUCUGACAUGUGUUUGGUGUAGGCAAUGUGUAUAUAACUGUUGGUAGCAGCAGAGUCAUGCCUACCUUGCUCAGAUACUUCCAUGGAAGACCCCUUGUUACUUGUCAGAGAUGAACAGAGAUACAAUACAAGAAAGCGAAAAUGUUACCAUCCUUGGUUGCUAAUGGUGCUUCCUUCUGAAGCUAGCAUAAACCAAGCUCAUCAAUGGAAGAAAUUUGUCUGGUAUUAAUGUGGUACUAUAAUAGCUAAGUGAAUAGACUACACCAUUUUUGUUUAUAGCUGCUACUUUGUUGGGCUUGUCAAGUAAUUAGAUUAUUGAGUCAAUUUCACUGUA